rnacentral:lncRNA from 1 species
GCCGUUUCAGAGCUGGGAUGAAACAAUCAAACAAUGUCUUCAAACACCAUCAAAGUGAUCAAAGGAGGGUUUGUCGGAAAAGGCACUGCCAAUUUUGUUAAAGUGGUCUAGCUUUAAGUGUAGCAUCCGUGAACAAAAGUCACAAUCUUUACUGGGAAGGCAGGGCCUGCUAAUUGAUCAGGACAGAGCAAUGGUUAAAUGAUCCUAGCUUUCAGACCUUCAGUUCUCACCCUCAUAUGCGCCCAUCAUUUGGUAUACGUAGUGCAAGUGAAUCUUAACAUCUGGGAAGUUGGCCUUUGUUCAGCGGAAUGCAUGUGCUCGUAUCUCUCUAAUAUGCUUUGGGUUAAACUUUGAGCUCGAUGUCAUCAACAAACAAAACGAGGAGAUUGCCCCGUUUAGGUCUAAUCUUGUUCCAAGGUAGCAUUUAGGCGUCGAAGAAGGAAAGAAGAACCAAAAAGUUUUGGAGUCUGUCAGACAGCCAUGAGACCAUCCCAAGACUGGAACGAUCCUCUAGUGCUUCAAGGCCACAAGUACCAUGGAAGGCUGUUAAUCACGCUCUGGUCCCAUAGCCACGCCUCAUCAACCAGACUAGGUUUUCUGUCUCCUUAGAACUCAAGGAUACAGUGGUACGAGCCUAUAGAACAGAUCCUGUUCAAGUAAGGUCGUGCCCUUCAGCUGUAGUAAGCGGCUAUUAAAGAGCCGAUAGUUAAGUUAACGCGCCGAUGUGGGACAGCUCCUACGCCAAGCAUCAACCCCGACAAACUAGGGAGCAACAGUGAGAUAAGUUAAUGCUCCGAUGUGGGACAGCUCUUAUGCCCUGACAAACUACUGGGGUUUCCACUCACUGGCAACGUGACAAAAUCGAAUCAUAAAAUAAUACAAGUAGAAUUCUACUUUGUGAUUUUGAUUCGUGUGGAGAAAACAAAACUACUGACAAUUAGCUUAAAUUUGAAUAAAAGACCAUUACAAUUAAAAAGAAAUCUCGCCAGGAUGACAAUUCGCAUUAUCCCAACUUCCACACACCCAAGAGCAUCUUAAAUCAACAAUCUUACCUGCUGAUGAUUUCUUUGAACUUUGCUAAGAUUUCAACUCGUCACAUAGCUAGAAAGCCUAUUUUCCUUCUUCGACAGCCCACCGGAGUUCAGC